rnacentral:rRNA from 1 species
GGGAUAUUGCACAAUGGGGGGAACCCUGAUGCAGCGACGCCGCGUGGGUGAAGAAGUAUUUCUGUACGUAACGCCCUAUCGACAGGGAAGAAAAAAGACGGUACCUGAGUAAGAAGCCCCGGCUAACUACGUGCCAGCAGCCGCGGUAAUACGUAGGGGGCAAGCGUUAUCCGGAUUUACUGGGUGUAAAGGGAGCGUAGACGGUUGGGCAAGUCAGAUGUGGAAGCCCAGGGCUCAGCCCGGGGAGUGCAUUUGAAACUUUUCAACUGGAGUGCUGGAGGGGUGGGCGGAAUUCCCGGUGUAGCGGUGAAAUGCGUAGAUAUCGGGAAGAACACCGGCGGCGAAGGCGGCCCACUGGACAGCAACUGACGUUGAGGCUCGAGAGCGUGGGGAGCAAACA